AAUAGAUGACGUCGUUGAUUUUUUCUCACAUGUUUGACCAUUCGUCUUAUUUAAAAAAUUUACGUAAUUAUAAUUAUUUUGUUAUGAGUUGUUUUAUCACUCAUAGUACUUUAAGUGUGAUUUAUAUCUUAUACAUUUGCAUAAAAUUUUUAAAUAAGACGAAUGGUUAAACAUGUGAUAAAAAGUCAACGGCUUCAUCUAAU
rfam:Oryza glumipatula chromosome 6, whole genome shotgun sequence.